ACGGAGGAGGCAAGCGUUGUUCGGAAUCACUGGGCUUAAAGCGCGUGUAGGCGGGUUGGCAGGUGUUUUGUGAAAGCCCUCGGCUCAACCGAGGAAUUGCAGGGCAAACCGCCAGUCUUGAGGUAGGUAGAGGCAAGCGGAACUAUGGGUGGAGCGGUGAAAUGCGUAGAUAUCCAUGGGAACGCCGGUGGCGAAAGCGGCUUGCUGGGCCUAUCCUGACGCUGAGACGCGAAAGCGUGGGGAGCAAACAG
rnacentral:rRNA from 1 species